rnacentral:rRNA from 1 species
CAGGGAUUGCCCUAGUAACGGCGAGUGAAGCGGCAACAGCUCAAAUUUGAAAUCUGGCUUCGGCCCGAGUUGUAAUUUGCAGAGGAUGCUUCUGGCGCGGUGCCUUCCGAGUUCCCUGGAACGGGACGCCAAAGAGGGUGAGAGCCCCGUAUGGUUGGACACCAAGCCUGUGUGAAGCUCCUUCGACGAGUCGAGUAGUUUGGGAAUGCUGCUCUAAAUGGGAGGUAAAUCUCUUCUAAAGCUAAAUACCGGCCAGAGACCGAUAGCGCACAAGUAGAGUGAUCGAAAGAUGAAAAGCACCUUGAAAAGGGGGUUAAAUAGUACGUGAAAUUGUUGAAAGGGAAGCACUUAUGACCAGACUUGGGCCGGGCGGCUCAUCAGGGGUUCUCCCCUGUGCACUCCGCCCGGCACAGGCCAGCAUCGGUUCUCGUGGGGGGAUAAGACCGUCGGGAACGUAGCACCCUCCGGGGUGUGUUAUAGCCCGGCGGACGAUACCCCCGUGGGGACCGAGGUCCGCGCUCCGCAAGGAUGCUG